rnacentral:rRNA from 1 species
ACGCUGAAGAGAGGAGCUUGCUCUUCUUGGAUGAGUUGCGAACGGGUGAGUAACGCGUAGGUAACCUGCCUUGUAGCGGGGGAUAACUAUUGGAAACGAUAGCUAAUACCGCAUAACAAUGGAUGACACAUGUCAUUUAUUUGAAAGGGGCAAUUGCUCCACUACAAGAUGGACCUGCGUUGUAUUAGCUAGUAGGUGAGGUAACGGCUCACCUAGGCGACGAUACAUAGCCGACCUGAGAGGGUGAUCGGCCACACUGGGACUGAGACACGGCCCAGACUCCUACGGGAGGCAGCAGUAGGGAAUCUUCGGCAAUGGGGGCAACCCUGACCGAGCAACGCCGCGUGAGUGAAGAAGGUUUUCGGAUCGUAAAGCUCUGUUGUAAGUCAAGAACGAGUGUGAGAGUGGAAAGUUCACACUGUGACGGUCGCUUACCAGAAAGGGACGGCUAACUACGUGCCAGCAGCCGCGGUAAUACGUAUGUCCCGAGCGUUGUCCGGAUUUAUUGGGCGUAAAGCGAGCGCAGGCGGUUUGAUAAGUCUGAAGUUAAAGGCUGUGGCUCAACCAUAGUUCGCUUUGGAAACUGUCAAACUUGAGUGCAGAAGGGGAGAGUGGAAUUCCAUGUGUAGCGGUGAAAUGCGUAGAUAUAUGGAGGAACACCGGUGGCGAGAGCGGCUCUCUGGUCUGUAACUGACGCUGAGGCUCGAAAGCGUGGAGAGCGAACAGGAUUAGAUACCCUGGUAGUCCACGCCGUACACGAUGAGUGCUAGGUGUUGGAUCCUUUCCGGGAUUCAGUGCCGCAGCUAACGCAUUAAGCACUCCGCCGGGGGAGUACGACCGCAGGGUUGAAACUCAGAGGAAUUGACGGGCGCCCGCACAAGCGGUGGAGCAUGUUGUUUAAUUCGAAGCAACGCGAAGAACCUUACCAGGUCUUGACUCCCGAUGC